GGCCGGGCCCUGGAGGACACGGGGCUGGAGCUGGACCUGGAAGUGAUACCGAAGUUCAACAACGACGUGCUCGUCUCCGAGUUUCAGAUGCUGCUCGGUGUUGGCUUAACCUGGCCGGCUGUGCCUUCCUCCUGGACAGGAGCAGCAGUGCAAAAUGCCCAACGGGAAGGCCAUGGUACUUCUGUCAGCAUUAUUCUGGGUACUGAAAACACUGACCAGAGAUAACACAAUGCAGGGCUUCAGACUCUGACAGCUCCCACGUACCUCCCCAUGAUGGCCCCUGGAGUAUGCUGGGAAAACUGGGAAGCACUUGCUGCAACUCUGAUGGAAGUCUCAUUCAAGAGUUUAAGAAGCUCAUUCAUCACAGGAGGACACAGGUGACUGCAACCUGCUUUCUUCAUUUCCUGCUGAGUUGGGGACAGUCCCUGCAAGGUAUGUGGCCCUGAUUUCUCCUGGCUAAUGAGGAAGGUGAUAUUUGCUGUACCCUCAGUGGAGUCCACUGUAUACUGCAUAUGAAUAUAGUUGUUUCUGACCCUGUGGGAUGGGUGCAAAUUUCCCUUUGAUAUGGAUCUGUGGAGGGACAUGAGUCCCUGGGGAGCCAUUGUAGUCAACAGUGAUCUCAGAGCUGUGGGUGCACCAGACUCAGAGACUUCAUGACCUAUAAUGGGAUGGUGAUGGCCCUUUAUGAUGGAAAAUGUGGCUGCUGGAGGAUACUCACAACCCAAUCUGUGUGAGGAGCAGUCUUCCUAUGUGUCAAGGAAGUUGGACAAAGACCCUAAGUCUGAUGCUCCCUCUGUCCCUAUACUUUAAAGAAGUCACCUUUCUGGAAACUAGACUCCAGGUGUCAUACACCUGUCUGUGGACCUGAAUCUUCCUUUGAUGAAAUGGACAAGAGCUCUGUGAGUAGUAGUUCCCUUCAGUUAUCCAGUAUUGCUUUAUGUACAGAUUUUUGUCCUGUAGCUUUUAGCAGAUGUGGGCCCUGAAGGUGUAGUAGGCAAAAGGGUGAACAGACACCAUAGCCAAAGAUGAGCAGUUACAGACCUGGAUACUCCACAAAGGAGGAAGAAUCCAACCUUGUUCUAUGCCUGUGGUCACAGGGCCCUGGGAUCCCUCAGGACAGACAGGCUGCCCUGCUGCCCCAAGACUCUAAGUGCCUCUGGUCAUUCACCUGAGUCUUCUUGUUGGUUGAAGCAUUACAAAGGAGGGAAGCAGGUGGGGCCUAGGGAGGAGAAGGAUGUGAACUGCUGCCUAGUCAUAGACAGGUUGGAGGUCCUACAGUGAGUCGUCUGUCUGCAUCUCACCCAAGUAGUGAGACCAUUUUUAGAAACACCUGCCUUAGAUAAGAUGGGUCUCCACAGGGUUGGAACCCUGUUUCUGGCUGCCAUCACAGUGCUCAUCCUGGUGAACAUUAGAGUAGAGCUGACUGACCCAUUGAGUGACCCAGGGUAACUGGCAGGGAUGGAGCUGGAUGUGAGGUAGUUGUGGUUUAUGCAGUGCUGAGGCCUCUUCUGCAUGAGGGGAGGGCCAUUCUGAGGUCUCACUCUGUGCCUGAUGGAGCUUGCCUUUUUCUGCACCAUUAUAUAGGUUGUGUCCCAGGGUUAAAGGCAUCUAUUCCUUAAUUGUGGCCAAUGGUCAGAAAGGAGCCAGUGGGUCCCUGAGUCUCAGGGGGUCAGUCUAAAAUCUAUUAAGGCCCAAGGGGAGCCACCAUCUUUGAAAAAAUAUGAUCCAGAGAAUAAGAAUUUCAGGGUAGGCCUUGUAAGUGUGCUUAAGACACAAACAAACAUGAAACUGUUCUUCCUAUCUGAGACUACAGUCAGAUUAUGCAGGCUUCCAAAGCCUGGUGUUUUCCUGGUGUAGUCGAUGGAAUCAUUACAAUAUAAGAUGAAGGUGUCUUCUAACUUGAUGUAGGAUUAUGAGGUAGCUUUGGUUUUUUUCUUUGAUGGAUAUGCAGGGAUGUGCCUGUGUUAUGUUCCUACUUAUCUCAAAAUCUUCAGUAAGUUCUUGAUAAUUGUAAAACUUGCUCUGAAGUGUUUUGUGGGAAGUUAGAAAGUCAAAGAUAACAGUUUAGUUGGCUGGGAGAGCAGUGCAACUUCCUAUCUGAGAUAGACUGUGGGCUCCUGAAAACUAUCCAGGACAGUUUGAAGGACAACUCUAUACUCAUGAGGGAAACUAUGGGCAUUAAGGUGGCAAUGUAUUAGGGUUCUCUGUCCCAACUCAAUAUUGUAAAGGAGGAAAGACAGGAAUCAGAAGGAUUCCUGGGAAACUCAGAUUUAGCUGAAGUAACCAUCAAGAGGGGCUAAAUUCCAGAAAUUAUGGUAGAUGAUAUUGACAAGUAAUGGUUCAAAGAUCAUGAAAAAUAAGAAAAGCUAUAUUUUAGCAGAUACGGGGUGCACAAUAACCUAUGAGUCUUUCUAGUUUAAUGACUAGAUAUGUUGACAUGAUUUCGGGUAUGUAAGUUUUUAUCACUUGAACUAAUGGUUCCAUAAAACAUAGGCACUGUUAAGAAUUCAAUAAAAAUGCUAAUAUACAUGUGCUUAUUUCCAAACUGAAGUAAUUUUUCUCAUUUGUUCUCAAGCCUCAUAGUGAGCAGCAAGAUAAAAUUGCCUCAAAUACACAAAUAUCAUACAAACUUGAAUUUAUUUGGUUUAAAUUUUUAUUUUCUUGAAAGGCACAUACAGAUACAGAGAAAUAGUCCAUCCUCUGGUUCAUUUCUCCAAAUGUCCACAAUAACAAGUGCUAAGUCAGAUAAGUCAUGAUAGAGGAAUUCAAUGAGUGCCUCGCAUGAAAGGAGCAAGGAGCCAAUCACUUGAGUUAUCAUUUGCUGCAUCCCAGAGUGUACAACAGCACAAACCAGAAGUAGGAUGUAAACCCAGGCAUUCAUGUAUCAGAUGAAGGAACACCAAACAGUGAUUUAACAUCUGUGCCAAACAUCCACUCAAUGGUGAGCAAAGUGACAUAAAAAUAUGAGGCCAUCCUAUAAUAGCAGACUGGGUGUUGUAGAUCAGGCAAGAUUAGCCAGAGCUGGCCCAGAUCAGCAGCACUGUCCACCAGACCUCCAGUACAAAAUUCACACCUAAAAUACUUUUUAAAAAUUUCGUGGCACCAGGUGCUGUCAUUUCAAGCAAUUAGGAUUGCCAGCUUUAUCAAAUAAAAAGUGCAGAAUGUUUGGUCUAAUUGGAUACAUACAGUACAUUGAAAAAAUUUUUGAAUACCAUAGUGAGCAAAUUCUCAACAUUAUCAUUUUUGUCUGAUAUACUGAAUAUACACUGGAGUAACAUUAAUAACUUUGAGAAUUAAUUUUUUUUUGACAGGCAGAGUUAGACAGUGAGAGAGAGAGAGGGAGAGGGAGAAGGAGAAAGGUCUUCCUUUACCAUUGGUUCACCCUCCAAUGGCUGCUGCGGCCAGCGCAAUGUGGCUGGUGCAAUUUGCUGAUUCAAAGCCAAAAGCCAGAUGCUUCUCCUGGUCUCCCAUGCGGGUGCAGGGCCCAAGGACUUGGGCCAUCCUUCACUGCACUCCCGGGCCAGAGCAGAGAGCUGGACUGGAAGAGGGGCAACGGGGAUAGAAUCCGGCACCCCGACCGGGACUAGAAUCUGGGGUGCCGGCACCGCAGGUGGAGGAUUAGCCUAGUGAGCCAUGGUGCUACUCAAUUUUCUUUUUUAAAGAUUUAUUUAUAUAUUUGAAAGUCAGUAUUAUACAGAGAGAAAAGGAGAAGCAGAGAGAGAGAGAGAGAGAGAGAGAGAGAGAGAGAGAGAGAGAGAUUCAGUGCAUUGGUUCACUCCCCAAUUGGCUGCAAUGGCUGGAGCUGGGGUGAAUUGAUGCCAGGAGCCUGGAGCUUCCUCCAGGUCUUCCCACACAGGUGCAGUGGCCCAAGGACUUGGGCCAUUUUUUGUUUUCCUAGGCCAUAGCAGAGAGCUGGAUUGGAAGUAGAGCAGCCGGGACUUGAACUAGCACCAAUGUGGGAUGCUGGCACUGCAGGCAGUGACUUUACCUGCUACACCACAGCACCAACCCUGAGAAUUAAUUUUUAAAUUUAAUUUUGUGGAAGCAUAUGAUAUCAUUUUCAUGUCAUAAUUGACUUUUCCAUUCUUUAACAUUAUGUUGCAUAUCUUGAUCAACAUCUUUUUUUCUUAAAAAAAGAGCUUUAUUAUAUAUUUUUAUUCUGUGCUUCAAUACUACAUAGCAUGAUUUCACUUAUUCUCAUACUGGAAGAAUGUUUACCAACAUCUAUUUACAGAAAUUUUAUUUAUUUAUUUGAAAGACAGAGUUACACAGAGAGAGGGGAGAAGAGAGAGAGAGAGAGAAAGAGUGUGUGUGUGUGUGAGAGAGAGAGAUAUCUUCCAUUCACUGGUUCACUCUCCAGUUGGCCACAACAGCUGGUGCUGUGCUGAUCCGAAGCCAGGAGCCAGGAACCAGGAGCUUCCUUUGGGUCUCCCACUUGGGUGCAGGGAUCCAAGGACUUGGGCCAUCUUCUACUGCUUUCCCAGGCCAUAGCAGAGAGCUGGAUUGGAAGUGGAGCAGCCAGAUCUCAAACUGGCACCCAUAUGGGGUUCUGGCACUGCAGGCCAGGGCAUUAACCCACUGUGCCACAGUCCUGGCCCUCAAAUUUUAUUUUUUUUUAAGUUUUAUACUUCAUUUCAAAGAUAGUUAUGACAAACAUCUAAAUAAUUAUACAUCUCAAAUCUAAAUUUAUUUUGCCAGGGAUUCCAAGGUAGCAGAAUAGAGAAAGAACAGACUACACUAGGCUAGAAGAAAAUAAUAAAAAAAAGUGAAGAAAGUGCAUUUGCAGGAGUGAGUUGGAGGGAAAAUUGCAGUGAAGAUUCUGUGGAAGGAGGAGAGACAUUGUGGAUCUGUAUGGAAGGUGCAGAUGUGCAGCAAUGUGUACAGACAUACCACAUAACCCCAGAACCAGAAGCCAAGAGCUGGAGAAAGUACCAGCUUUGGAGGGUGACGUGUGAUCAGACUGCAGCACCGUAUAACACUGGUGAUAUAGUUGGAAUGAGAGCCUAGUAGACUACACUUUGCAUCUGGCCCGGAGACCUGAGGAGAACAGGGUGCAUUCUCACCCAGGAAAAAAAUGGGGCAUGAUUCUUUCUACCCACCUCUCUCCCUCACACACACAACAGUGCCUGGAAACCAACUGAAAGAGGGUGGGUGCCAUUUUGUACAUAAGUAUGUAGCAGCUAUAGCAGCUCUUGUGCACUUGCCCAGAAACUAGCAAGGACAGAUGCCAUCUUGCCAGCUCCCUGCAAUGGGGGCAGAUAAGGUGCCAUGCUGAUAUUAGCAACAGUUGAAGAGACUCUUGUAUGUGCCCAGUAACUGGUGGGAAGAGUGUGAUUUUGAAAUGAUUAAGGCUGCAUCCAGUGUGUAUUGUGCACAUGUGGGAUCCAGGGAUUUUACCAGAGGGAAAAAUCCAUAUUUCCCACUGACUUUGAGUCUGCUGGUUUGACAGGGGCUGGGCACCCAUGUACAACUAACUGUGAGGUGCCCCCAGCUUCUCAGUGUGUUGCUGGCACUGGGUUCAAACCUUAUGAUAAAACAAAACAAACUACAAAAAAAAAAAAUUACAAGGGUGGGAUGCCUAAUUUGUUUUCACAAUAAACUGUGAGCUCAGCAGCUCACUACUUGCCUGCUAUUCUCAUGGUAAAUUUGUGAGAUUCCAAAGACUGGGCAGGCAGGCACUUCUGACCUUGCUAAGGACAACUCUUUGGAGAAAGGAAGCAUUUUACACCCCCAAUUCCACUGAGACUACACUGAUUGCCUAUUAACCCAUCUGACUUCUCACAGCAGGUCUAAUUUAAACAUGUGGUAAAUGAAACAAUAAAUUAUAUCAAGAAUCAGCAAUAAGAUUAAAGGGUUGAUCUUUAAAGAACCCUAAGGCCAAAAUAACUGCUUUUAUUUAGAUCUCCUGGGUUUUAAUUUGGGAGAUCAUCCAUUCUACCUUGCUGAGGGAACAGGGGCUAUUUCUUCUUUUUGCAACAGGACAAUAAGGUUAAUGAAAAGUGUCCCAGGAUUUCCUUGGACCUGGGGAACAGUCAUGUGGGUCCUUUCUUGAACGAUGAGCACUUCUUUGCCAGGAUUGUUACAAAAUGUGUGGUCUACCUUUAUUUUUCAUUAACAAAACUGUUUUUUUUAAAUAUGAUUACUGGCCUUAAAUUUAAGUAAUUUUGUUGCACUAAAGAUCAACUUUAAGGCAAAAGGAUCACAGUUAAUGUGCUCAUGGUGGGGACCAUACUUCCCACUCUGUUUCUUAAGCAUAGUAUUAAGGUCCAGCAUGGGAAAUUAGUGCACUGUGACUCAUGUUGUUAAUUUAACCAUUAACACUCUUAUGUGUGACAUCAGUGACGACCCAAGGCUCUUGACAUGAGCUGCCUAGGCUCUGAAAGCCUUCUGAAUCUAAAGACGCUGUCAAUUCAAACAAGGCCAUAAGCAAAGUGAAAGUUCUCUCCACCCCACAGAGAAAAGUAGUCCUUCUUUGAUGACCAUUUCUUUCCACUGGAGUCUCACCCAGGGAGGUUCUCCAUGCAGGGACAACUUUUCCCACAAGUGUCCUGGCUUUCCACACCUGAAAUGCUCUUGUGAGCCUUUUAGCCAGACCAGAAGACCAGGAUGCCUUUAGGGCUAAUUCUGAGGUCACAGAGUGUUACUUAGAGCAAUUGCCAUUCUAUGAGUCUGCUGUAUGGACUGCUUCACAUAUUGGAGCAUUUACUCCUCUAUAAUACUAUUAAUUCUGUUGCUAUGAUCAGUUUAACAAUUAGUCCCAUCUAUAUGACCACUUUAAAACUUAAUCCAAUCCAAUAGGCUCAUUUUAAAACUUAAUCUAGGGCUGGCACUGCAGCUCACUAGACUAAUCCUCUGCUUGUGGCACUGGUACCCCUGGUUCUAGUCCCCGCUGGGGUGCCAGAUUCUGUCCCGGUUGCUCCUCUUCCAGUCCAGCUCUCUGCUAUGGCCCGGGAAGGCAGUGGAGGAUGGCCCAAGUGCUUGGGCCCUACACACACAUGGGAGACCAGGAGGAAGCACCUGACUCCUGGCUUCAGAUCAGCACAGUGCGCCUGCUAGUGGCCAUUUGGGGGGUGAACCAACAGAAGGAAGACCUUUCUUGCUGUCUCUCUCUCUCACUGUCUAACUCUGCCUGUCCAAAAAAAAAAAAAAAAAAAAAAAAAAAACCUUAAUCUAAUCUGUAUAAUUAUAUUAAAACUUAAGAUGUCACUUUCACUAUCUAGCCUAAGGGGAUUUGAGAUCCCAUGGUGAAGUAAAUUUAGUUGUGAAGUUACAAUUUAAGCUCUUAUUUUGGCUAUGCUAUUAUGUAGAGAAUGUUAGCCACUCCUUUCAUAAGAUCUAAAAAUCAAACUGUACAUCUUGGAGAAUCCCUCAGCACAGAGUCAGUUUCCCAUCUUAAAGGGAAUAGAGAGAAAUGAGGGAACAGCAGUUACAACCAUUAAAUAACAGCUUAUGAAAAUAUUCACUAGGAUGUCCAAUGCCUUUUAUAAAUUUUAAUACAUAUGUUUGGAAAUAUCUCUUAAAUAUCUAACACAGUGUAGCUUGCUUAACCAGCAAACUUGAGCACACACAUAUGAAGCGUUUUUAGUUUCUUUCUACCAAUAGAUUUAAAACAUCUUACAAAGAGCUUUAGGUCACAUGAAUCAAAUGUACCUUUGAUUAAUUUUAGCAGUUUAAAUUUAUGAGCAAUCUUCCAUUUAUAGGCUAAUUAAGACAGAGCUCUUACUAAAUUUUCCUAUGUAGGUGUACAGUAUAUACACACAUAUAGCACAACAUACAAGACAGAAAAAUGGAGCAGUUUUGUUAAUAGUUUCCUAAAAUCUUUAGCUGUUUUUUAUUAUCAUCAACCAUUUAGAAUUACUUGCUGCUCUUAAUAAUCUAAAUUAGCCAAACUUUUGUGAAGUUGGAACCUGUAGAACAUGAUUGGCUUUAUCUGUUUACAGAACUGUCCCAGAGUAUUGAACACAAUAGAGGUCAUGGAAAAAGAGGUCCUUUUAAACCUAAAAUGAUACAUUUAAACAUAGAACCAACAAUGUUUUAGUUUCAUGAGCAGCAGAUAUGGUAUAUAAAACUGUGGAUGAUAAAAAAUUUUAAGUAGCCAUGUUUAAAAUUACAAACCUAUUAACCAACAAGAGGUGCUUGCUUACUCCAUACAAUAUUUUUUUAAAAAGCACUUAUAGGAUUUUGUAAGAGAAAUAACCCUUUUAGGCCUUUGGGCCUUUCUCGUUAAAAUAACCAUCAUAUCUAGUAACACAAGAUGAUUAGACUUUAACCUUUAGGCAUUUGUAUUGGUAGCAUUUUAUAUUAUCAAAACUUAAAAUUUAGCACCACUUCAUAUCUUGAUAGUACUUCUAAUACAACCCAAAUAGCCUGAUGAUUUGGUGUCUCUACAAGAUGAGAGACAUGUCCUUUGAUAUUUCCAGGGGCCUAUCUGGAAAUACCAAAGUCCAAAAUUUUUGGAACUGAAUUUUUGAAUGCCUGCCAAUAAUGCCAAGAAGGCUCAAAAUCCAAAAUAUCUGGUCAAAAUAGGAUCCCUUUACAUCAUGACAUCAUAUAGAUAAAAUUUGAUCAUUGUUACAAGGUGAUUAUAUGCGUUUCAGAAUAAACGUAUAUUUUAAACAAAUCAUAACCCAAAUAAAAAUUCAACUGUUUUAAACAAUUAGAACCUAGCAGAGAUAUUAAGAUAACAUAAUAGAUUAACUUAACACAAAAUCUGCAUCUCUUUGGUUGUUCCAAAAGUGGUAAAUAAACCUUAAAUUUAAGAGCUUGUAUAUUGAAUCAAAUCCCAUAACUUGGAUGUUUUAACAGAGUCAGAACUAGGGAAGAGAGAAUAGCUUACUGGAGCUGGCUAGAAAACUGAGCAGAGUCACUGAUUAAACAAAGCUAUCAAAAGGAGAUGCUGCAGGUUUUUAAAUAGUUUUUUAGCAAUAUUUUGGAAUAUUUACUAACAUAUGCAUUGUAAAGUCUUCAUUGCUGUAACAGAGGAUCAGAUUUUAGUUCUAUGUCAAAUAGACGAAUAGAUAUACAUUUUGAAAUAACCCUCUAAGAUUCCCCACAUUAAGACAACACUUUUUAAAAUACAGUAACACAUCAAAUUUCAAGCCUAGUUAUUUCCAAGUGGUGUUGAACUAUUUUCAUAUGGACAAUUUAUGAAAACAUGUUAGCAAGCCCAAGUGGCUUUUCUAUAUAGACACAUUCAUCUCAUUAGCUUUACCCAAUUUUACAUUUAGCACUUACACCUAAAUGACUUAUGAUGCUGAUAGUAUAUUAUAUUAUAUUAUAUUAUAUCUCUAUCUGAACUUAAUCAAAAUCAAAACUGCAUUUAUCUAUAACUAGUACUGAUUACUUAUUGCUGUUUUCAUCAUUGAUUACCCAUUUCUAUAGCACUGGAAACCUUUUAAAAUAUAUAUUGCAAAAUAAGUUUGGCACGUUACAAAGCAAUAAUUUUGAAGGCAGCGAUUCUGCUGGAUUCAAAGAGAGAAAUUUUCUUGGUAUUCAGUUACAAGGCAGGGAUAACUUGUGACAGUAACAGUAACUAUAGGGUUAAAUUGAAAAAUUUUUCUCAUCUGUGUCUGUAUUUGGCAGCAGCAGGUUGGCAUAGGAGCCUGAAGAGCCAUGGCAGCCCAGGUUGGGGCUGAUGGUAGUGCCCGUUCCAGCAGGAACACCAGAGACAAGUUUUGGGGAACAUGUCCAUUUAUUAACAGCCACAUACGCUUUUUAAAGAGCAGGGAGAAGGAGCAUAACUAACUCAGGGGAACACUGACUAUAGGACAGAACUGAUACUGAUACCAAUAUGCCUCUCCACUCAGCUUUUCUGGGGGGCCUAAAGGGCCAGGACCACACCUCGGAGCAGUUUACCUGAUUGGCAGAAGGUGAGGGUGGGGAGACAUGUGCCUGGGCUCAGGCUAACUGCUGGGAUGACCCAGAGAGAUCUAUUUUCAAUUGACUUUAUACACAUAUGAUUAACUCUAUGUUAAGUAAAGAGUUCAACAAAUGGUAUGAAGAAAAGAAAAAAAAAAACUGUCCCUCAGCAGUCAAGACAAGGGAUGUUCAAGUCAUUGCUUCUCAAAGUGUCAAUUUCACUUCUACAUAUUUCCUUUUAGGUGUUCUAUUAUAUAUCACAGAUCAGGGAGAACAUAUGGUAUUUGACCCUUUCAGAUUGGCUUAUUUCACUAAGAUGUUUUCCAGAUUGACUCAUUUUGUUGCAAAUGACUGGAUUUCAUUUUUUACCACUGUGUAGUAUUUCAUAGAGUACCCAUGAA